UACGGAGGGGGCUAGCGUUGUUCGGAAUUACUGGGCGUAAAGCGCACGUAGGCGGCUUUGCAAGUCAGAGGUGAAAGCCCGGGGCUCAACCCCGGAAUUGCCUUUGAGACUGCAUCGCUAGAAUUGUGGAGAGGUAAGUGGAAUUCCGAGUGGUAGAGGUGAAAUUCGUAGAUAUUCGGAAGAACACCAGUGGCGAAGGCGACUUACUGGACACAUAUUGACGCUGAGGUGCGAAAGCGUGGGGAGCAACAGG
rnacentral:rRNA from 1 species